rnacentral:lncRNA from 10 species
GGAGUGCAGUGGUGCGAUCACGGCUCAUGGUAACCUUGAACUCCUGGGCUCAAGAGAUCCUCCUGUCUCAGGCUUCUGAGUAGAUGGGACUACAGGUGUGCACACCGUGCCCAGGCUAACAUCCUUCUGGGGGAACCCAAACCCUGCCUGGGGAAUAACUUGAAGCAUCUCAGUUCUCAAAUUGCCCCCUGCUUACCCCUAAAAGGAGACCACACAGAGCUCCACCAACCUCGAGGCAGCUGGUGUUCUCUGCUGUGAAAUCUCCAUCGAUCUGACUUCCAAACUCUGCUGAGGUGUGAAGAUACAGAGAUGAAAAGGACAUAGUUCCUGUCACCUGGCAUCUCUGCCUAGGAGAAAGACAUAAGCAAAAUUGCUGCCGGCUUCCAGGCAGACGCCUCACAAGAAUCUCACGACGCCAAAGUUGAGGCCCGGAACGCCUUCUCCCCGGGCUUGGCAUUCUCUUACGACGCAAGGCCGGGCCAGCCUGGCCACACAGCACUCGAAACCCCAUUGGUGGAUGCAAAAGCAUCGGAUAAGUUCAUUGGAUGAGCCUGGAGGAACGCGGCACCUCAUUGGCCACAGAGAAGUCAAUUCCUGGCAAUCUCGGAGGGUGCGCAUGCUCGGAAGGUGAGUGGCGGGCAAACCGGCCGGAAGAUCCUGCCUGUUUUUGCAGCCAGAGGCACGCAAUGGAGGGUGGGCAGUGCGUUGCCAGAUGGCCUCGCCUGGCCCAUUUCUCUUUUUGCACUCUGUUGUCUCUGCUUCUCCAGCCACACUAGGAGGUCAGACCCUUGGCCCUCACUCACGGAACUUAUCUCCCUACCCAAAUGGCCUCUCAUGUUCCCAGCCUGGCCCCUGCCUCGGCACCCACCUUAGUGGCCCUAGCCUCUGGGAGUCAGCUUGGCCUCUUGAGUCUUCACUUGCAGUGGCCCCUGUGCAGCCCAGGCGUCUUCAUCUGAUUGCGCUAUCGCACCAGCCUCCUCAUGGUCUCCUGGAGGGUUGAAUCUAG